UUGAGCUGUACGAGAUGAAAGUCUCAUGUACAGUUCUCGGAAGGGGGAUCGCACCUAUCUCAAU
rnacentral:ncRNA from 1 species